rnacentral:rRNA from 1 species
UCGAGGAUCUUCGGCAAUGGGCGCAAGCCUGACCGAGCGACGCCGCGUGUGGGAUGAAGGCCCUUGGGUUGUAAACCACUGUCAGGGGGGAUGAAGUGCGGGAGAGUUAUCUCUUCCGUUUGACAUAGCCCCAGAGGAAGCACGGGCUAAGUUCGUGCCAGCAGCCGCGGUAAUACGAACUGUGCGAACGUUAUUCGGAAUCACUGGGCUUAAAGGGUGCGUAGGCGGCUUGUUAAGUAGGGUGUGAAAGCCCCCGGCUCAACCGGGGAAUAGCGCCCUAAACUGGCGAGCUGGAGUGAGACAGGGGUGUGUGGAACUUCCAGUGGAGCGGUGAAAUGUGUUGAUAUUGGAAGGAACACCGGUGGCGAAAGCGACACACUGGGUCUCAACUGACGCUGAGGCACGAAAGCCAGGGGAGCAAACG